AACGUAGGACGCGAGCGUUAUCCGGAGUUACUGGGCGUAAAGGGCGUGUAGGUGGUUUCGUAAGUCUGGCGUGAAAUUUUUCGGCUUAACCGGGAAAGGUCGUCGGAUACUGCAGAACUAGAGGACGGUAGAGGCGUGUGGAAUUCCGGGUGUAGUGGUGAAAUGCGUAGAGAUCCGGAGGAACACCAGUGGCGAAGGCGACACGCUGGGCCGUACCUGACACUGAGGCGCGACAGCGUGGGGAGCAAACAGG
rnacentral:rRNA from 1 species